AACGCACGAGACCUGCGGACCUGCGGAGGGAUCAUUAGUGAACGCCCUCACGGGCUUAUAACUAUUCCAAACCUCUGUGAGCCGUGCCCUUCGGGGCUAUUUUACAAACAUGGUGUAAUGAACGUCAUAUAUCAUAACAAAACAAAACUUUUAGCAACGGAUCUCU
rnacentral:misc_RNA from 1 species